AUGCGGCAAGUAAGCACCUCCCACCCGACAGAACAGAGGGUCAGCCUGGCUGUGCAGUUCCGACGAAACCAGGAAGCAGGUCUUGCCUCAUUCCUCCUGUCAAAGGAACUCCUCCAACCUCUCUUGGCCUUCAACCUGCACCUCUGUCUUGGGCUGCCCUGUCGGGUCCUGUGGUUGGUCAGGGUUCUGUGUCCACUCCAAACUGUGGGCUCCCUGACAGCAUGGCCUCCACCAGUUCAUCUCUACAGCCUCCCUGGAGCCCAGGCUAACAUAUUCACUAGGGACCCAGGGAGCAAGAAAGGAUCCAGAUGCCCUGAUGGAGGAUCCCCCAGAUCUGCCUCUUCAGACUUCUCACCCUGUGGACAGGUCACUUUAAAAAGUACCUUGAAAAGGGGCUUCCCUGGUGGUCCCAUGGUUACGACUCUGCCUGCGAUGCAGAGGACACUGGUUCAGUCCCUGGUCCAGGGAGACUCCAUAUGUAGAAGCAAGUAAGCCCAUGCACUACAGCUACUGAGCCCGCAUGCUCCAGAGCCUGUGCUCCGCAGCAAGAGACGCCACGGCAAGGAGAAACCGGCGCUCAGCAGCUAGAGAGCAGCCCACGCUCACUACAAGUAAAGACAGCCCUCGCACAGCAACCAAGACCCAGCACAGUCAACAAUUAAAUAUAUAGCUUUUUAAAAAG
rnacentral:tRNA from 1 species